ACUUAUUCUAAAAUUGACCACAUAAUUAGAAGUAAAACACUCCUCAGCCAAUGCAAAAGAAUGGAAAUUAUAACAAACAGUGUCUUAGACCACACUGCAAUCACAAGGCUACAGUAAUAAAAACAGCAUGGUACUGGUACCAAAACAGAUAUAUAACCAAUGGAACAGAACAGAGGCCUCAAAAAUAAUGCCAGAUCUUUGACAACCCUGACAAAAACAAGCAAUGGGGAAAGGAUUCCCUAUUUAAUAAAUGGUGUUGAAAAAACUAGCUAGUCAUAUGCAGAAAACUGAAAC
rnacentral:lncRNA from 1 species